GCAUAUCAAUAAGCGGAGGAAAAGAAAAUAACAAUGAUUCCCUCAGUAACGGCGAGCGAAGAGGGAUAAGCUCAAAUUUUAAAUCUGUUGGGUUCCACUUAACAGAGUUGUAUUUUGAAGAAACGUUUUCUGCAUCCAGGAUUAGCCUAAAUCCUUUGGGAUAAGGUAUCAUGGAGGGUGAGAAUCCCGUUCAUGGUUAAUCUUAAGGAAGCUCUACGAUACGUUUUCCAAGAGUCGAGUUGUUUGGGAUUGCAGCUCAAAAUGGGAGGUAAAUUUCUCCUAAGGCUAAAUAUUGGCGAGAGACCAAUAGCGAACAAGUACCGUGAGGGAAAGAUGAAAAGAACUUUGAAAAGAGAGUUAAACAGUACGUGAAAUUGUUGAAAGGGAAACGAUUGAAGUCAGUCAUACCAACGGGAAAUCAACCUUUUGAGCUUGGUCUCGUGGGUUUUGAAGAGUUUCAAAGCCCUCGGAUUCGCGAGAUUGGGAUCUCUUGGUGUACUUUUUCGUACGGUUAGUCAACAUCGGUUUUGAAUGUCAUAAAAUGACUGGAGGAAUGUAGCUUCGAUCUCGUAUUGAAGUGUUAUAGCCUUUGGUAGAUGUGAUGUUUGAGACCGAGGAUUGCAACGGAUACCUUCAGGGCUAUUCGUCUGAUCUCUGAUACGUUGCCUUGAUGUUGAAAGCUUGCUUAUGAUGUUAGGGUAUUACGGUCAAAAGGUUAGAACGAAUUACAUUCGUUAAGGAUGUUGACGUAAUGACUUUAAACGACCCGUCUUGAAACACGGACCA
rnacentral:rRNA from 1 species